GUGGCCUGAGGUCUGAUGUCACCUCUCUGUUGAGAUCUGUUAAAAUCGCUGCAACGGAAUUAUUAGCGUGGGACAAACCAAGAGGGGGGUGAAUUGGUUAUAUACUUUUAUCGUGCCUUUUAUUAUUUUUCUCUUAAUUUUUCUUACUAAGCUGAUAAUAAAAUGUAAACAAGAGAGUAAGGGAAAGAGAAAAAUGCACAGGUGAUUUUAUCCUGGUUCAGAUCACAAGGAUCCUACGUCCAGUCGCUUAUCUCAAACAAGAUAAACCUUUUUCACUAUCACAAAACAAU
rnacentral:lncRNA from 1 species